CGCCACUGCACCCCAGCCUGUGCAACAGAGUGAGACCUUGUCUCAAAAUGAAUAAAUAAAUAAUUUUAAAAUCGUCACAUGUGGCUAGUAAGUACCAUAUUGGACAUGACAGCAUUAACGCUGAUUCUCUUGUAGCCAUUUAUUUCAAGGAAAUUAUUAGAAAUAUACACAAAUGUAUAUACAUAGAUGUGUUGCAGCAUCAUUCAUAAUUUUGGAAAGCUAGACAAUGUUAAACAGGGUAUUUGUAGUAUAGUAAAUUUAUUUGGUCUUUGUCCCUGGUUCCUGUUACAGAGCCACUAGAACCCUUGGAAUUUUCUGAUAGUGUAGUGUAUUUUUUUGUUAUUCUUAAUGUACCCCUUUUGAUAACACCUGAGUUCAUCCUAAUGAGAUAACUUUUAGGAUCUGGCCUAUCUAUAGCCUAAGGAAGGAUGGGGCCAGUCACCAAAAAGACUAAGUGAUUAGAGUUUUAGAGGGUUGGAACUUUUGGCACCACCUACCAAAAUCCAGGAAAGGAGGAGGGCAAGUGCUGGAGAUUAAGCUCCAUUAAAGCUUUUUUCUUCUUGUGUUUUGAGCCAAGUCUCGCUCUGUUGCCCAGGCUGGAGUGCAGAGGUGCGAUCAUAGUUCACUGGAGGCUUCAACCUCCUGGGCUCAAGCAAUCCUCCUACAUCAAUGUCCCAAGUGGCUGGGACCACAGGCGCCUUCCACCACACCUUGCUAAAUUUUUUUGUGUUUGAAAUGAAGUCUUACUAUGUUGCCCAGGCUGGUCUCGAACUCCUGGACUCAAGCAAUAUUCCCAUCUCAGCUUCCCACAGUGCUAGGAUUACAGGUGUGAGCUGCUGCGCCUGGCCUAUAAAAACUCUUGAACUAGAAAUCUGAUGAGCUUCCAGGUUGAUGAGCACAUGGAAGUGUUAAGAGGGUAGCACCCAGAGAGGGCGUGGCAGCUCUGCACCCCUUCUCCCUCUACCUUUCCCUGUGUGUCUCUUCACCUGGCUGUUCUAUAUCAUUCAUAAUGUCCUUUGUAAUAAACUACUAAGUGUAAGUAAAGUGUUUCCCAGAGUUCUGUGAGCCAUUCUAGCAAAUUAUUGAACCCACAGAGAGGGUGGUAAGAACCCUGUGCUAACCAUUCAGUCGGAAUCAUAGGUCACAACCUGGGACUUGUGAUUAGUGUCUGAAGUGGGGCCAGGCUUAUGAGACUAAACUCUUAACCUGUGGGAUCAGACACUGUCUACCUGGAGAUAGUGACAGAACUGAAUUGAAUUAUAGGACACUCCGUUGGUGUCCAUUGGAGAAUUGUUUAGUGUGGAAAACACUCUCAUCUGGUGUCAGACCUAUUGGGAGGGUAUAGUAGGAGAGAAAAAUGUGUUCUUCCCAGAGUAUUACUUAAAUUUUGUUGUUAUAUUUAUGUAGUAUACAAUGCAGUUGUUAAAGGUAAAUCUUGGCCGGGUGCAGUGGCUCAUGCCUAUAAUCCCAGCACUUUGGGAGGCCAAGGUGGGCAGACCACUCAAGACCAGGAAUUCAAGACCAGCCUGGCCAACAUGGUGAAACCCCAUCUCUACUAAAAAUACAAAAAUUAGCCAGGUAUGGCGGUGCACACCUAUAGUCCCAGCUACUUAGAAGGCUGAGGCACGAGAAUUGCUUGAACCUAGGAGGCGGAGGUUGCAGAGAGCCGAGAUCACGCCACUGCACUCCAGCCUGGGUGACAGAAUGAGACUCUGUCUCAAUAAAUAAAUAAAUAAUUUAAAAAAUUUUUUUAAAAAGAUGAAUCGUAGGUAUUGACCUGGGAAGCUGCCUGUAAUAUAAUGUCAAAUUAAUUAAUCAGGUUAUACAACAGUGAUGAUUUCUUUUAAGGCUAUGUGAAAAUAUGUUUAUACAUACAAAUUUGAAGGAUAUACACCAAAGUAUAAGCAGUAAGUAACUUUGAGAGGUAUGAUUAUUAGGGAAUUUUAAUUUAUAUGUAAUGCAAUUUUGUAAUAUUUGCUUUUUUUUUCAGUAAGCCUGUAUUACAUUAUUCCAUUUUAAGAAUAUAAAUAAAUAAAAAUUGAUUACUUUACAACCAAACUGUGUGCCCUACCACAAAAGCACAUGAAGCUGACCCCUGAUGAUUUGGGAAAGAAGUGCUAUUCCGUACAGGGUCUAUGUAGUAUUAAAGGUUUCUUGUUGGACACAACCAAAUAAUAGUAGCCAAAGUCUGUUAAUCAAGCUAACUUCACUUGUCCUGUGGCUGGGAAGAUAAUUCACGCUCAAGUGUAGUGUCACUUCUCAGCAGGACUCAUAAAUCAAGAAUAAUUGAGGAGGAAAGCAGUUAAGAUUUGGUAAAAACAGGAAAAGCUCUCAGAGAGUAUAGUGUAUUCGUGUGUUUAUUUCAGCAGUAAAUCUUAACUAUUUGUGAAAGCUUAAAUGUAGAUAUAACUACCCACAGGAAUGGAAUUUUAGCUAACAUUUGAGAUGUACUAGGUAUGUGAAGCAAAUAACUGGUUCUGAGAGGCUUGGCUAAGGUGAAGGACAAAUGUAGCAGCAGAAGAGAAUUGCAAUAAUAACAUUAUGAUACAAAAAUUCUAUCUUAGUGUGUUGGAGCUGCUAUAACAAAAUACCUUAGACUGGAUAACUUAUAAAUAAUAGAAAUUUAUUGCUCAUAAUUCUGGAGGCUGAGAAGUCCAAGAUCAAGGUGCCAGCAAUUUUAGUGUCUGGUGAGGGCCUCUUCCUUACAGAUGGCACCAUUUGUGUCCCUACAUGGCAGCAGGGGCAGGGCAGCUCCCUUCAACCUCUUUUAUUAGGACACUAAUCCAUUCAUGAGGUUGGAACCCUUAUGACUUAAUCACAUCCCAAAAGGACGCACCUCUUAAUACCAACACAAUGGGGAUUAUUUCAACAUGAAUUUUGGAGGGACACAUUCAGACCAUAGCAAGUGUUUAUAGUAUUAGGACCUAUGGCACAUACUGCAGAAUGCUAGUAUUGAUUCCAUAAGAAAAUCGCCUUUUAUGGACUGCUUGUCACAGUGCAGUUUCUUAGGUCUCAUGUGUAAAUUUCCUAGGUAAUUCAUAUGCACAUGCUGAGGCUUGAGGACCACUGUCACAGGUUUUGCACAAUCUUCCUUCAUUAAAUAGCUGUUGAAUGAAUAGCAUCUUUUUCUCCCCCAUGAGAGCCAAUAAUUGGCCUUAUAAGUUACAGAAAUUUUUUUCUCACAUUUAUUCAAGUAAUAUUUACAUUUCUUCCACCCACUAGACAUUGUUUGAGGCCCUGAGGGAUACAGUGGUGAACAAGACAGGGUUUCUGUUCUCUCAUUGGAGAAUUAGGACAAAAUGUUAACAUGAAGGAUGGGUUGGGUUGGAAGGAUGGUGCUAUGGUUUGAAUGUUUUCCUCCAAAAUUCAUGUUGAACUUAAUCCUCAAUGUGUAGUAUUAAGAGGUGGAGCCUUUAGAAGGUGAUUAGAAGAAUUAGUAUCCUUAUAAAGUAUACCAAUAAAAGACUUGAGGGAACCUGUUGGGCCCUUCUACUCCCCUUCCACAAAGUGAGGAUGCAGAAAGAAGGCACCAUAUUGAAGCAAAGAACAAGCCCCUUACCAGACGCGAAAUCUGCUGGUGCCUUGAUCUUGGAAUUUCCAGCCCCUAGAGCUGUGCAAAAUAAAUUUCUAUUAUUUAUAAAUUACUGAGUCUGUUAUUUUGUUAUAGCAACCUGACUAAGACAGGUGGAGAGGACUGCUUUAGAUUGGCUGGUCAGGAAAGCCUCUCUGGAGAGGUGGCCUCUCAACAGAGACUUAGGGGAGGGUGGCACUGGGAGCAGCCAAAUGUGUGACCGUCUGAGAGGGAAGCAUUGCAGACAAAGAGAGCAGUUGAAUAAAGCCCUAAAGUAACAACAAGUUUGGUGUUUUGGCAUGUUCAAGGAAUGGAAGAGCCGAUGGCUGAAGCAUGAUGAUUAAGGAAGAGAGUGGGCUGAUAGUAGGCAAGGGUCUGAUUAUGGAAUAGUUCCUAAGCCGUAGUAAAGAACUUGAAGUUUUUUCCAAGUGCAGAAGGAAACAGAUGGAUAAUUUUAAGCCAGGGAGAGACGGAAGUUAUUUACAUUUUAAUAAGAGAAUUCAGUUCUUAUACAGAGAAUGGAGGGGUAUGAGGAUGGAGGAGGGACAUGAAUAGAACAUUUGAGCCCAAUUAGGCUCUAAUGCAGUAGCCCAGUGAAGAUGAUAGUAGCUUGAACUGUGGAUCUGAAGAGAAGUGUAUGAUUUUGGGAUAUAUUUCAGAGGUAAAGCAGACCACACAUUGCAGUGGAUUCGAUUGGCGGGAUGGAGUGAGACGUUAGAAUGAUUCCUUGUCUUCAGCUACUGGAUGGAUGGUGUGGCCUUUAUUAAUAUGAAGAAGAUGAAGGAACUUUGAACUUAUCCAGGUAGUUUCGUGUUUUAUCACGAAACAGAUCCAGAUGGACACAGGUGACUAAGCUUCCAAAUACAAGGCUCAAUGGGGACAAAGCCGUGUGCACAAGGCAUGUCACAUGUUGCCUAAUCUUUCCACUCCUAUGUGCUUCUUCUUGUGCUUCUUCUUUUUCUUCUUCUUUGCUGCCUUGCUGUCUUUUGAUGUGUGCCUUGCCCUCUUGCCUGUAUCAUUCUCAGAGUCUGAGCUGUCAGAGUCAGAUGACUUCCAAUUCUUUUUCUUCUCCUCCUUUCUUUUUCUAGAAGGAUUCCUUGUGGGGUCAGGCUUCUCAAACUCUGCUGACUUUGCCUCUUCCUUUUCCUCUUCCUCAUCAGGUAUCAGAGAGUAUUUGGUCCCACCUGGUUGCAUGAAACAAUCUUUUGCAAAGUGGCCUUUACAGCCACACUUCUUGCAGGUAGUGUUCAAUCAAUAUACUCUGGUUAGCAUGUAAGUGUGGGGGGAUGGGCAAUGGGUAGAGCCUUCUCUGUGCUGUGUACAUAGCACAGUGCCUACACAUUCUGUGCCAUAAGUAUGUUGAAAAACUCUCAUUACUGAGGUAGGGGUUUAAUGUCCUUACUGGAGACUAUAUUUAGCUCUUGAAAGAUAAAAAUUAUUUCCCAGGUGGAGAGUUCUAUUUUAACUUUUUAUUUUUGAAAUAACAUUUUUCAGAAAGUAGCAAAAAAUAGAUUCCAGCUUCCCUUAAUUUUAACAGCUUACAUAUCCAUAGUGCAGUUAUCAAAACCAGGAAAUAAACAUUAUUACAACACUAUAAACUGCAGACCUUAUUCAGAUUUCAUCACAUUUUCCAUGAACAUCAUCUUUUCUGUUCCAGGAUCCACUGCAUUUAGUUUUCAUGUUGCCUUAGUUUUCUCUAGUUGAUGACAGUUCCUUUAUCUUUUUUAAGAGAGACAGAGUAGCCCAAGCUGGAGCACAGUGGCAUAAUGAUAGCUUACUGCAGCCUCAAACUUACGGGCUCAAGUGAUCCUCCUGCCUCAGCCUCCCUCAUAGCUGGGAAUACAGGGGCUUGCCAUCACACCCAGCUAAAUUUUUUUUUUUUUUUCAGGAUAUGGGGUUUUGCUUUGUUGCCCCGGUUGGUCUCAAACUCGUGCUCAAGUGAUGCUACCACCUCAAGAGUAACAGUAAUAAUAAUAGAACAGCCUAAGUCCUGUGGUCCAAGCCCUUGAUUCAGUGAGGAAGAGGUUUGUUUUUGUUUUGUUUUGCUUUGUUUUUUUGAAACCAGGUCUUGCUCUGUCCCCCAGGCUGGGGUGCAGUGGCACGAUUCCAUAAUUCCACUGUAGCCUCAAAUUCCUGGGCUCCAGUGAUCCUCCCACCUCAGCCUCCAGAGUAGCUGGGACUGCAGGCAUGAGCCAUCAUGCCCAGCUAAUUUUUGUAUUUUUAUUUUUAUUUUUUUGUUUUGUUUGUUUUUGAGACGAAGUCUCACUCUGUCACCCAGGCUGAAGUGCAGUGGUGCAAUCUCAGCCCACUGCAACCUCUGCCUCCCAGGUUCUGGUGAUUCUCCUGCCUCAGCCUCCCAAGUAGCUGGGAUUACAGGCGCCUGCCACCACACCUGGCUAAUUUUUAUAUUUUUAAUAGAGAUGGGGUUUGACCAUGUUGGCCAGGCUGGUCUCGAACUCCUGACCUCAGGCAAUCCACCUGCCUUGGCCUCCCAAAGUGCUGGGAUACAGGUAUGAGCCACCGCACCUGGCCUAAUUUUUGUUUUUUAGUAGAGACGGGGUUUUGCCAUGUUGCCCAUGCUGGUCUCAAACUCUUGAGCUCAAGCAAUCCACCCUCCUUGGCCUCCCAAAGUGCUGGGAUUACAGGUAUGGGCUACCACACCAAGUGAGAUUUAUUUUUAACAUAGGUCUCGAAAUGACUAUAGGUCAGAGCUCUGGAACUGAAUAACAUGUUUUGGAGCAGUGUCAUCCCCUUUUCAAAUGCCCUAGUUCUUGACACCAAGGGAAUUAAAAGUGACUUUUUCUUUAGAACUAUGAAGCAUAUAAGUUCUGUGAGUUCACCUUUUUGCAGCAGCUUCUGUGCAUUACUCAGUUCUACUUCCUGCAAACAAUUCUUUAUUUCCACACCUGUGGAAGACAGUAUGGUCUUGUAGUUAAGAGGAUGAACUUUGUUGUUUUGUUUUGUUUUGCUUUGCUUUGCUUUGUUUUAUUUAAAAGAUAGGGUCUAGCUUCGUUGCCAGUGCAACUCCUGGGCUCAAGCGAUUCUCCCACCUCAGUCCCUCAAGUACUUGGGACUAUAGAUGUGCACCACCUCACCUAAAAAUAUGAACUUGGAAAUGUUAGAUCUGUCCUAGCUCUAUCAUUUAACUUGGCGUAAAGUGGGAUCAUAAGGAUUAAAUGAUUAGCAGGUAAAAGCAAUCCGGAACUGUUAACUAUAGCUAGUAAGUCAGAAUUCGGUGAGCAUAGACCAUAAAAUAUUUCAGGUCUAGAAUAGAACUUAGAAGAGCUCUUUAAAAAUCAUUUUUAGAUACUUGGUUUUCUAAAGGUUGCAAGCAUACAUUCCACAGUGUUAUAGAAGUAUGACAACCUCAAUUAUUUAGCUCCUUCAAGUUAUGAAGAAAAGUUGUUUGGCUAGGGAUGUCGGGGUGAGAGAAUUUAGAAAGGAGUACACUGGAAGCUUCUGAGGUUCUGGCAGUGUUCUCUAUCUUAAUUUGUAUAGUAGUUUUGUGAAUGUAUAUUUUGCAACAGUGUACUAAGCUGUACAUUUCUGUAUGUUUUUCCAUAUGUAUUGUACCUCUGGUUGUUUAAAGAAUUUCUGAUAUUGGGGUAUUGAAAUCUUCAACUAAUGUUGUAUUGUCUGUUGCUCCUCUGAAUUCAGUCAGUUUUUCCUUUAUAUAUUUUAUGGUUCUGCUGUUAGAUACGAAUACACUUAUAGUUGUUAUAUUUUCCCAAUUUGUUGACCUUUUUACCGUUAUGAAAUAUCCCCUUUUUUGGUCUCCAGUAAUGUAUCUUGUCUUAAAGCCUGUUUUGUCUGAUAGCACUUCAGCUACUUAAGGUUGCUGUUUACACAGUAUCUUUUUUUUAUACUUUUAUUUUCAACCUGUAUAUGUCUUUGAAUGUAAAGUAUGCAUCCUAUAGUCAACAUAUAAUUGAAUCUUUUUAAAUCCAGUGUGAUAAUCUCUGCUCUUUGAGUUGUUUAGUCCAUUCAUAUUUUAUCUGCUUGUUGAUAUGUUUGGAUUUACAUUAGUCAUUUGUCUUUUACAAGUCUCAUGUGUUCUUUAUUCCUGUUUUUUACUGCCUCUUUUUGUAUUAGAUAAUAUUUUCUGCAUGCUAUUUUAAUACUUUGGAUUUUAUUAACUAUGCUUACUUUUUAGCUAUUUUCUUAGUGGUUGCUGUAGGAAUUGUAAUGCACAUCUUUUUAUAGUCUACUUUAGUUUUUCGGGAUUCUUUUUUUUUUUUCUUUUUCUUUUUUUGAGACAGGGUCUCACUUUGUUGCCCAGGCUGGAGUACAGGGGUGCAAUCAUGGAUCACUGCGGCCUCCACCUCCCUGGGCUCAGGUGAUCCUCCCACCUCAGCCUCCUGAGUAGCUGGACUACAGGUGCACACCACCAUGCCCAGCUAAUUUUUGUAUUUUUUGUACAGAUGGGGUUUUGCCGUGUUGCCUAAGCUGUUCUCAAACUCCUGAGUUCAAGCGAUCUGCCUACCUUGGCCUCCCAAAGUGCUGAAAUUACUGGCAGGAGCCACUGUGCCCAGCCCUACUUUAGUUUAAUAGUACCUAAUUUCAGUGAAAUAUAUUGAUAGAAGCUUUGCUUUAGCAUAGCUCCAUUUCCUCUCCUCCACUUCGAACUAUCGUUGUCAUGUACAUUUUAUCAAUAUAUGUUGUAAACCUAACCACUGAGUGUCAUAAUUACAGCUUUUUAUAAUCUUUUGUCUUUUAAAGAAAUUAAAGAAGAGAGAAAAUAA